rfam:Streptomyces sp. M41(2017) strain M41 M41_contig1, whole genome shotgun sequence.
CCGACGGGCAAUCGCCCGCUCGGACACUGACUUCGGUACCUGAUACGGCCGAAGCAG